rnacentral:rRNA from 1 species
UACGGAGGGUGCAAGCGUUAUCCGGAUUCACUGGGUUUAAAGGGUGCGUAGGUGGGCAGGUAAGUCAGUGGUGAAAUCUCCGGGCUUAACUCGGAAACUGCCAUUGAUACUAUCUGUCUUGAAUACCGUGGAGGUCAGCGGAAUAUGCCAUGUAGCGGUGAAAUGCUUAGAUAUGACAUAGAACACCAAUUGCGAAGGCAGCUGGCUACACGAAUAUUGACACUGAUGCACGAAAGCGUGGGGAUCAAACAGG